UACAGAGGUCUCAAGCGUUGUUCGGAUUCAUUGGGCGUAAAGGGUGUGUAGGUGGCGCCGUAAGUCGGGUGUGAAAUUUCGGAGCUUAACUCCGAAACUGCAUUCGAUACUGCGGUGCUUGAGGACUGGAGAGGAGACUGGAAUUCAUGGUAUAGCAGUGAAAUGCGUAGAGAUCAUGAGGAAGACCAGUGGCGAAGGCGGGUCUCUGGACAGUUCCUGACACUGAGACACGAAGGCCAGGGGAGCAAACGGG
rnacentral:rRNA from 1 species